UGCUGGAUAAAAAGUGUGUUAAGCUUGUUUAGUGAAAGAAGAAUUACAUUUGCAAGGAGACAUCGAUUCAUAGGUCAUAUGUAUCAUUGAAUUAUUCAUUUCAUCUUCAACAUUAUUCAUUUCCUAAACAAGUGUCAUUUAUAUUCAUACAUCACAUCCAAAUGUCCAUACAUAGAAAAAUUACAAAAUUUGACCAUUUCUAUAACAGUUGACUUUUUGGCCAAUAAUUAGCUUUUUUGUCAACCAUUUGACCAAAGUCAACUGAUUCCCCUUGAUUAUCCUAAAGUCUAACAAAAUUCCACUUGCCCAUUUUUAAUCAUCAAAAUCCAUGAUCACUUGCUUUCAUUAUUUUUCUCCAAGUCAUUGUCAAGCCUUGAUGUCCAUCAUGCUAGGUUUGAUCCUAGCAAAAACCAAUGCACAAAAGUAACACAUCAAGUCAUCAAACCAACCAAGUGCAAUUCCAUAACACAAUCCUGCAGAGCUAAUGCAUUCAUGUCAGUCCAAGCAACAACAACAACAUGAGCAUAACCAUAACCAUCUCACAUUGCAUUGCAAAUUAUCAUAAUAGGCCUGCAAAAUGGAUCAUAACCUGCAGAACAAAAUAAAGAAGUAGCAGUAAAAAAACUACAUAACAAGGACAUUGCAACAAUUCGGAACAAUUAACUAAGCUGAACCUAACAUACAUCCUGCAUUCAAACACAAACAGACCAAACAAUGAGCAUGCAUACCAAAUCAAUGAACAAAGGUAGCAACAACAAAAAAUCAUGGCAAUUCUGCAAACAGACUUGCAAUGCAUUCAAAACAGAUAUUGUACAACACAUACAACAACAUUCCAAGUCAGUUGAAUAAAUUCAUAAAAACACGAUUCCAUUAACAUCUCAACCAUCCAAAUAUCAUCUAACCUAACCAAACUUCAAUCUCAACCAUUCACAACAUAACAGAAUCAACCUAACAAAUUAACCUAACUACGUCAAACUUCACAAUCUCAUAAAUAACCAUUUUGCCUCGAUUUCAGCAAAGUCAGUUCCACUCUAACUGAUUCUCUAACUGAUUUCACAAAUCCCUAAGCUUCUUAACAACCUAUAUAAACAACCUCUCAACCAUUUCAUAACUACCUCUAGAUCAUUCAUCACCUAAACACAAUCAUCUACACCAUUUUUUUCAAUCAUUCAUCAUCUGCACAAAAACUUAGAACCUCUCAAUCCUUUAUUACCAAAAACUCAGAAGAUCAUUCAUUCUGAUUCACUCAACUCAAUCUUCAUCUCUAUCGAAAUCAAGCUUGGAACCUUAAUCAAUUCUCAAAUCCACAAACUCACAAACUCACACAUCAUUCACGAAUUCAGAGCAAUCUCACAAUCUCUCAAGAAGAAGAGGGGAAAAAGGCGUUGAAAGCAAGGAAAAGAAAGAGGCAUCAGAGAACUUACCUAAGAUUUUUCAUAUCAUCUUCUCCGACAAGGUGAUUUUUCCAACUUUCGUUUUUCAUCAAUUUCUCGAUACCGAGAUGUAUAAGGAGACGAGGGGAAUCAAAACCCUAACCUCUCGGGCUUUGAUUCCUUAUGUUUGGUAUUUAAUUUAUCUUAGAAUAAUUAGGGUUCUUGAGGAGAUCUCUUCAAUUUGGCAUUUUGAGUGAGUUCCUCUUAAAAUUGAUACCAAAUUCAUGCUCAACUUGUUGCCACGGUUCCAGAAGUAGUUUUCGUUUUCAUUUUGGUGAUCCACCGCUGCCGGAGGCAACCUCUGGCGCUAUGGAUGACGGUGUGGGAAGAUGGCUUUUAAUCUGAAUGUUUGAAAUGAAAUGCUUCAUGUUGCACGCAUUUUUUUCCUUUUAAUUAAAUAUGAAUUUCCUUUUGUUUCAUUUGAAGUUUCAUAGUGCCGAACACAUGUUACACAUUGCCUUGCUCCAUGUUAGUAUUGGGCCUUAACUCGUGUGGGCUUAGUGUAUCUUUUCGGAUUGAACCUUACUUUGCCCCUGCACCCGUCUGUCCCAGCCAUCAAUUGCAAUGGGCCAUUCACCUCGGGCACUGCGCAGGAUUGUUAUUUAUACACUGUUUGUAGAAUGAACCCCCCUUGUUUCUUUAUCAGUUUUGAUAUAUUUUUUGCUACAUCUUUUAGUACUCUUUUUCCAUUUAUUUUUCUUGAUACAUUUUAUUAUAUUUUGUGGUA
rnacentral:lncRNA from 1 species